rnacentral:lncRNA from 1 species
CAUAUCUGACGGUGGUGGCCCACAUCAACUAUGUGAUCCGAUAGUUGCGGUUUGCUUUGGCAUUUGAUCUAAUGGUCAGCAAUAUUUUCGAGCAAAAGAAGACUUCUGGGAGCUGUUUUUGCACCAUCCAAUGGUUUGAAUUCAAUCUCAAUUUUGAUCCGACGGCUAGCAAUGAUUCUGACUGAGAUAAGGAUUGGUUGAGGCAUGAUCUGAGGCAUUGAAGGAUGAUCUGAUGGCCAGAAAAUACAAACACGCCUUGGACAUAUUUUGGAGAUGAUUUUGAGGGGUUUUGGGACUCUAGAAAUUACUAGGACUCAAGGAAAAGCAGCAUCUAUAAAAAGGGGGCCACGAUACAAGAGAAAAAUUAUAGAGAAAAUAUAGGAAAAAAAAAGAGAAAAUUGGUAGAAUAAAAUAGGAGAAAAAUAGAGAGAAAAUUGUAGAGAUCCAAAGGAAAAAAAGAAGAGGAAGCCCAGUUUGUUCCAUGGAGUUUGAAAG